AUACGGAGGGUCCGAGCGUUAUCCGGAAUCGUUGGGUUUAAAGGGUCCGUAGGCGGGAAUCUAAGUCAGUGGUGAAAUCUUGCAGCUCAACUGUAAAAUUGCCAUUGAUACUGGAUUUCUUGAAUUAGUGUGAAGUGGUUAGAAUGUGUAGUGUAGCGGUGAAAUGCAUAGAUAUUACACAGAAUACCAAUUGCGAAGGCAGAUCACUAACACUAUAUUGACGCUAAGGGACGAAAGCGUGGGGAGCGAACAGGAUUAGAAACCCGAGUAGUCC
rnacentral:rRNA from 1 species